CCUACGGGAGGCAGCAGUGAGGAAUAUUGGUCAAUGGGCGGAAGCCUGAACCAGCCAAGUCGCGUGCGGGAUGAAGGCCCUACGGGUCGUAAACUGCUUUUGUACGGGGAUAAAACCCUCCACUUGUGGAGGUCUGCAGGUACCGUGCGAAUACGGGCCGGCUAAUUCCGUGCCAGCAGCCGCGGUAAUACGGACGGCCCGAGCGUUAUCCGGAUUCAUUGGGCUUAACGGGAGCGUAGGCGGGCGUUACGGUCAGCUGUAAAAUCGCGCGACUCAACCGCUCACUGCAGUUGAAACUGGACGCGUUGAGUUCACAACAGGCAGGUGGAAUUCGUGGUGUAGCGGUGAAAUGCAUAGAUAUCACGAGGAACCCCGAUGGCGAAGGCAGCCUGCCGGGGUGCGACUGACGCUGAGGCUCGAAGGUGCGGGUAUCAAACAGGAUUAGAUACCCCAGUAGUC
rnacentral:rRNA from 1 species